rnacentral:rRNA from 1 species
AAUCAACGCUGGCGGCGUGCCUAACACAUGCAAGUCGCUCGAGAAAGGGUCUUCGGAUCUGAGUAAAGUGGCGCACGGGUGAGUAACACGUGAAUUAUCUACCUUCGAGUGGGGAAUAACUUCGGGAAACCGAGGCUAAUACCGCAUAAUAUCUACGGAUCAAAGCAGUAAUGCGCUUGAAGAGGAGUUCGCGGCAGAUUAGUUAGUUGGCGGGGUAAUGGCCCACCAAGACGAUGAUCUGUAUCCGGCCUGAGAGGGCGCACGGACACACUUGACCUGAAACACGGUCCAGACUCCUACGGGAGGCAGCAGAGGGGAAUUUUGCGCAAUGGGGGAAACCCUGAAGCAGCAACGCCGCGUGGAGGAUGAAGUCUCUUGGGACGUAAACUCCUUUCGAUAGGGAAGAUUAUGACGGUACCUAUAGAAGAAGCCCCGGCUAACUUCGUGCCAGCCGCCGCGGUAA